rnacentral:rRNA from 1 species
CCGCCCGUCACAUCACGAAAGUGGAUUGUACUAGAAGUCUGCACGCCAACCCGCAAGGGGGCAGCGACCCAAGGUAUGAUUCAUGAUUGGGGUG